rnacentral:tRNA from 1 species
GAAGGUAUAGCUCAAGUGGUAGAGCGCAUGCUUAGCAUGCAGGAGGUCCUGGGUUCAGUCCCCAGUACCUCCU